UUUGUUUUUAAAUAUUAUUUUUUAAAUAAGAAAUAAAUAAAUAAACGAAAAUUAAAAUUAAAAUAUAAAAAUAAAAAGUGCAUCUAAAUAUGGUAUACUAGGUAGUGAAUAGAGGAAGGGUAAAUUUGAGAAUAAAAAAAAGAUGGGUCUCUCACUAAUAAAGGAAAAGGAGCUGGACCCAUGCUUAUUAAAAUAAUGUUAGAGGGGGUUCUCACUA
rnacentral:lncRNA from 1 species